UUGGAUUGCACGUCUAAGCAGUAAGGCUGAGUAUUAGGCAAAUCCGGUACUCGUUAAGGCUGAGCUGUGAUGGGGAGAAGACAUUGUGUCUUCGAGUCGUUGAUUUCACACUGCCGAGAAAAGCCUCUAGAUAGAAAAUAGGUGCCCGUACCGCAAACCGACACAGGUAGUCAAGAUGAGAAUUCUAAGGUGAGCGAGCGAACUCUCGUUAAGGAACUCGGCAAAAUGACCCCGUAACUUCGGGAGAAGGGGUGCUCUUUAGGGUUAACGCCCAGAAGAGCCGCAGUGAAUAGGCCCAAGCGACUGUUUAUCAAAAACACAGGUCUCUGCUAAACCGUAAGGUGAUGUAUAGGGGCUGACGCCUGCCCGGUGCUGGAAGGUUAAGAGGAGUGGUUAGCUUCUGCGAAGCUACGAAUCGAAGCCCCAGUAAACGGCGGCCGUAACUAUAACGGUCCUAAGGUAGCGAAAUUCCUUGUCGGGUAAGUUCCGACCCGCACGAAAGGCGUAACGAUUUGGGCACUGUCUCAACGAGAGACUCGGUGAAAUCAUAGUACCUGUGAAGAUGCAGGUUACCCGCGACAGGACGGAAAGACCCCGUGGAGCUUUACUGUAGCCUGAUAUUGAAAUUCGGCACAGCUUGUACAGGAUAGGUAGGAGCCUUUGAAACGUGAGCGCUAGCUUACGUGGAGGCGCUGGUGGGAUACUACCCUAGCUGUGUUGGCUUUCUAACCCGCACCACUUAUCGUGGUGGGAGACAGUGUCAGGCGGGCAGUUUGACUGGGGCGGUCGCCUCCUAAAAGGUAACGGAGGCGCUCAAAGGUUCCCUCAGAAUGGUUGGAAAUCAUUCAUAGAGUGUAAAGGCAUAAGGGAGCUUGACUGCGAGACCUACAAGUCGAGCAGGGUCGAAAGACGGACUUAGUGAUCCGGUGGUUCCGCAUGGAAGGGCCAUCGCUCAACGGAUAAAAGCUACCCCGGGGAUAACAGGCUUAUCUCCCCCAAGAGUUCACAUCGACGGGGAGGUUUGGCACCUCGAUGUCGGCUCAUCGCAUCCUGGGGCUGUAGUCGGUCCCAAGGGUUGGGCUGUUCGCCCAUUAAAGCGGUACGCGAGCUGGGUUCAGAACGUCGUGAGACAGUUCGGUCCCUAUCCGUCGUGGGCGUAGGAAAUUUGAGAGGAGCUGUCCUUAGUACGAGAGGACCGGGAUGGACAUACCUCUGGUGUACCAGUUGUCGUGCCAACGGCAUAGCUGGGUAGCUAUGUGUGGACGGGAUAAGUGCUGAAAGCAUCUAAGCAUGAAGCCCCCCUCAAGAUGAGAUUUCCCAACUUCGGUUAUAAGAUCCCUCAAAGAUGAUGAGGUUAAUAGGUUCGAGGUGGAAGCAUGGUGACAUGUGGAGCUGACGAAUACUAAUCGAUCGAAGACUUAAUCAA
rnacentral:rRNA from 1 species